GAUGAACGCUGGCGGCGUGCUUAACACAUGCAAGUCGAACGGAAAGGCCCUGCUUUUGUGGGGUGCUCGAGUGGCGAACGGGUGAGUAACACGUGAGUAACCUGCCCCUGACUUUGGGAUAACUUUAGGAAAAAGGGGCUAAUAUCGGAUAGGAGCUCCUGCUGCAUGGUGGGGGUUGGAAAGUUUCGGCGGUUUGGGAUGGACUCGCGGGUUAUCAGCUUGUUGGUGGGGUAGUGGAGUACAAAGGCUAUGACGGGUAGCCGGCCUGAGAGGGUGACCGGCCACAUGGGGACUACGAUAGGGCCCAGACUCCUACGGGAGGCAGCAGGGGAGAAUAUUGCACAGUGGGCGGAAGCCUGAUGCAGCAGCGCCGCGUGCGGGAUGACGGCCUUCGAGUUGUAAACCGCUUUCGCCUGUGACGAAGCGUGAGUGACGGUAAUGGGUAAAGAAGCACCGGCUAACUACGUG
rnacentral:rRNA from 1 species